rnacentral:rRNA from 1 species
UGGGGAAUUGUUCGCAAUGGGCGCAAGCCUGACGACGCAACGCCGCGUGGAGGACGAAGACCUUCGGGUCGUAAACUCCUUUCGAUCGAGACGAAUGGCCUCGGGGUGAACAAUCCCGAGGAGUGACGGUACCGAGAGAAGAAGCCCCGGCUAACUCCGUGCCAGCAGCCGCGGUAAUACGGGGGGGGCAAGCGUUGUUCGGAAUUACUGGGCGUAAAGGGCUCGUAGGCGGCCAACUAAGUCAGACGUGAAAUCCCUCGGCUUAACCGGGGAACUGCGUCUGAUACUGGAUGGCUUGAGAUUGGGAGAGGGAUGCGGAAUUCCAGGUGUAGCGGUGAAAUGCGUAGAUAUCUGGGGGAACACCGGUGGCGAAGGCGGCAUCCUGGACCAACACUGACGCUGAGGAGCGAAAGCCAGGGGAGCAAACGGG